rnacentral:lncRNA from 1 species
AAAAACCAAACCCAAAAAAAAGAAAGCAAGAAAAAUGGUUUGACUCAGAAUGCAAAUCCAUGAGGAAAAAACUAAGACAAUUAUCCAACCAAAAGCACAGGGAUCCAGAUAAUCAGGACCUACGUAUUCAAUAUGGAGACACAGUCAAAGAAUAUAAACAAACACUGAGAUUUAAGAAGGAGCACCACCUCAAAAACCAAAUCAACCUAAUUGAAGAGUCCAUAAAUUCAAACAGUUUCUGGGACCACUGGAGGACCUUGAACAAAAAUAAUAAUACAAAUAAUGAUCUUGCCAUUCAAGAUGGGGAUAUAUGGAUCAACCACUUCAAGGAUCUAUAUCAAGAAACCCAUAUCACACCGAAACGAGACCAAUUACAAGAAAAAUUGAACCAAUUAGAAACCAUCAUUAAGGACUACCAGAACCCAUUAGAUUAUGAAAUCACAGAAAAAGAAUUAGAUCAAAAACUGAAAAAUUUAAAGUGUAGAAAAGCCUGUGGACCUGACGGCAUCCUCAAUGAGAUGCUUAAACACACAGACAAUAAAUUCAAAUCAGCCAUUCUGAAACUUCUAAAUUUAGUACUUAAAGCUGGCUUCUUUCCUGAAAUAUGGAAUGAUGGACUGAUACGUCCCAUAUUUAAAAGUGGAGACAAAACAGAUCCACAAAAUUACCGUGGGAUCUGUAUAAAUUCAUGUCUAGGGAAGGUCUUAUGUAGCAUUCUAAACUCAAGGAUCAUAGACUUCCUCACAGAACAUAAUGUAUUAAGCAACAGCCAAAUUGGAUUCCUACCCAAAUUUAGAACUACAGAUCAUUAAACACACUAAUUGACAACUAUGUACACAAAAAUAAUACAAAGAUUUAUGCUUGCUUUGUGGAUUUCCAAAAAGCCUUCGAUUCAGUCUGGCACAAUGGCCUUUUCUUAAAAUUACUCGAAAGUGGUAUCGGAGGGAACACAUACAAUCUGAUCAAAUCCAUGUACACUAACGGGAGGUGCUCAAUUAAAAUUGGAACAAAGAAAACUGAAUCUUUCUUUCAGAGACGUGGAGUAAGGCAGGGCUGUAAC